AAAUAUAUAUAUAUACACACGCACACACACACACACACACACACACAUAUAUUUCCCUACCGAGGAACUUUCCCUACUGAGGAACACUUAAGUUGUCUCCACUUUUUGCUGUUACAAACAACACUCUAGUGAACGUCUCUGUGCACAAAUCCUGUUUUGAAAUGAUCCUUCCUCUCCCAGUAAUCUCCAUAUUCUGUACUUCCUGUGUAUGGAUUCACCACCAAGCAUCUUCUAAAAAGAACCAUUGCCUGGGAUUUAUUCAAUCGUCAUGAAUCAACAGUGGGGAAAAGGCGUUUGACCAAGUACUGAGCAACAGCAUGUGCUCUGCCUGGGUCCGGCUCUAUGUGGGGAACAAGAUUAUAAGAUGGGGGCUCUGUCCCCAAGGAACUGGGUCUAAUAGGAAGACUACCAAUGGCUGCAAACUGCCGUUGGCUGUCUUCCCAACUGGCCAGAGAUGACGCCCACAGCCCCCACGGCCUUGCUGCCAUGAAGAAGGCCUUCUUCCUGAAGAAAGGACUGGGCUAUGUUAGACCAAAGGUCUCCUGGGACGAUGGCCUUGCAUCUCUUCCAAAAGGCAUGGCUAGUGCUGAAUCAGCCCCCCAGGGGUCUGGAAGCUGUAGGUCAGCCCCCAGUUCUCCCAGCCAAGGACAGUGAGUCAGCCCAUACAUACCCCAUGUACUCCCACCCCAGGAAUCAAAGCCAAGCGAGACUAGAGCAGGUCCUGUAUGUAGAGCCAGAUUCAGGGCCAGGGAGAAGGUCAGUGGUGUUCAGCCCCCUGGGUAUCCACAGCUUUGCCCAGUGCAGUUUCUAAGAAGCCCUCUCCAUAGGGACAAAAUGCCACAGAGAGGAAACAAAUCUAUGGAGAGGGCUUCUGGCCAGGCAAGGAAGCUGCACAAGCUCCACGCAUCCAGAGCAACACAAGAUGCCACACUAAGCUGCAAGGUUGCUCAGCCUGAACGUUUAAAUCCAGAGAGAAACAAGAGCAGGCCUCCUGCCCUCUCUCCAUAUACCCUCUCAAUAUGGAGGCCUAUGCAAGGUCCUGCCCACAAGGUACCAGCCUUCAUGACAAAGCUGGCGCCAUUGAGAAGGUUAAAUGAAAGGGCAUGUGUGAUGCAGUUAGCUUCGGGCCUGACAAACUCAACAAAAAAACUGCGGAGAUUCUUCCCCUUGCUCUGAGGAGGGCUCCUUACAGCCCAACUCCUACUGCCUGGUUCCCCCAGCAGUGUAAGCUGUCCCUCCGCAUGGGAGUGCCUCCUCACACAUGGGGGUCUGUCUUCCCUGGGGAUUCCCUCACACACCUCCCUUAGGGCCAGACGCUGGCCAGGUGCUCAGAAAAUGUUUGUGCACCUCACUGGAGGGGUCUGGGACAUGUCCCCUGUUUAGGGAAACAGAAAGAGUCUCUUGCCUCUGCCCUUCUGACCCCUCUGUUCUUGUCCCUCUGCAGGACAGCCAGAGCCUGGACCUGCAGUUGCCAUAGCAACAGCGGAGCCAGAGAGAGUACCAGGUGGGGCAUCCCUGCGGCUCCAGAGAAGCAGCUACCUCUUCUAGACAGCAAAGUGGGGAAACAGCUAUGAUAGUGGCCUUGUGAUGAGCUCCUGGAAGUGGCCUGGGUUUCUACAUCAUCCAUCCAUCCAUCCUUCCAUUUGCUCAGUCAUUCAUCACUACUAUACACAAGGCACUGUGCCAAACACCAGGAAAACAAAGUCAAGUGGGAAACUAUUCCUGCCUUGAGAGAGCUCCCAGUCCAGGGGGGAAAGCAGAAGAGGAAGGCAGCAAGGGCAGGAGGCGAGGUAGUGCUGGCAGUGGGGAGGCCGAGCAGGGCAGAGAUUAAGAGCACAGGCUCCAGAGUCAGCCUCCCGCAAGCAAACCUCAGCUCUGUUCAUCACUAGCUAUGCAACACCUGGGCAGGCGACUCCACCUCUAAAUCUCGGUUUACUGAUCUGUAAAAUGGGAGUAAUUGGUACUUACCUCAUAAGGUUUGGAGGUAUUAGUAAUAUAUGUAAAGUACCUAGCAUAUAGUAAGUGCUCAGUAAACAGAAGGUUUACUGUUGUUCUGAAUCUACCCUACAUUCCCUCCUCCAAAACCCAAGGCUGAAGCCCGAGUUUCCGGUUAGGGCUUCCUGCAGUUUCCUCAGCUAACUCUUCCCUGGCGUCCAGGAUAAGCAGCCCCUGCUGCCAUUGUACCUGGGAUGUCUGUGUGUCCCCACCUCUCCACCUCCCUGCUGCUAUCAGAUCACCUGGGACAGUGUCUCAGAUAAAGUCCCCAAAGAGGGUCUUUGUGUUUAACAAAUAAAUGGCCAACAACCAUUAAGUGAAAUACUUAAAAUGCCUCCGCCCUUAUCUUUUAUACAGCUCCUCAUUAUUCAUCCCGAUACUCUCCUCUUAUGGCAGAAAGUCACAAAAACAUGUAAACACACGCGCACACACACACACAUGCACCUUUUGAGAGAUUUUCUUCACCUGUGAGCAUAACCUGAAGACUAUGCCCAGAUUUAGCAACGGCUGUUCCUGCUAACAGUCAUCCUCCCACUUCCUUCCCCCAGUCCUGUGACGCUGGAACAGAGGCUGCCCCUACUCAGGGUUCUCCAGUCCUGUGACGCUGGAACAGAGGCUGCCCCUACUCAGGGUUCUCUGGGGGGCAGCAGCAUCACUAAGCAACCGCUACCUCCAUUGCUUUGUCCAUCUCAGCCGCAGGACAGGACUGGAAAUGGCUCUUCAUAUUGGCUCCUAUGGCGGGGAGCUGACUGUUGCUGCUCAACUGCUCCCUCUGGAGGGGCUGUUUGCUAAUGACAAAGUAGGCCGGAGACCCUUGCUGAGUGCAAGGGGAUUCGUGGGCAUUGCAGCGAUCCUUGGGAGGAAAUGGCAGGGCAGAGUAUUACACAGUUCUUGUCCUUGGAGCACGUGUGUAACCAUCCUGUGUGCGCAGCAUGGUACGGGGGCACUUUAGCGUUCCAUUCAGCAUCCGAGCUGCUUGGUAAUUGGGCAGGCCUGCAAGCAUUUCAAAGCCCUCACAUUUUAACCCUCGGAAACAGAUAACCUGCUCCAAGAGGAGACAGAUUCUCUGCUUAACCAAACUUUAGUCAGGCUCCUGAGCCUCCUCCUAGGUCCAUCUGUGUAUGUCCUUGUAAAAUUGUUUUACCAAAGAACCCUGCUAAGUUAGUUUGGCAAAAGAACUUCCCCACCUCAAUAUCAGAUCAUCCUUGAUAUCUGAUCAAGUCCCUUGUCCUCCGCCAUCCCACAGGUGAUGUCUGAUCAUCCUGGCCUUCUUCAGCAAGAAUCCUGUUAGGUCAGUUUAGCCAGAAUCCUCCUUAUCCCUGAUGUUUCCUCCGAGUAAUUUUCAAUCCAGUGAUCUCUGCUCUACUCCUGGGCUAUAAAUUUACCCACUUGUUCAUCCUGUACUCAGAGUUGAGCCCAAUCUCCCUCCCCCACUGCAAAAGUCUCAUUGCAGUGGUCCCUGCACCUAUCACAAUGGUUAUGAGUAAUUCUUCCUUCACAUGCUUUAAACAAGUGUCAGUGAAUGAUUUUUUUCUUUAACAGAGAGUAGUGAGAUUCUGAGUAUUCUUCAGAAACAUGGGAGAGAAUAUUUAUCUUACAUCAUUAACAACAUUGCAAAAUUUCAGAAUGUGCAGUAUUAAACUUGGCCUUGGGGUGUGAGGGAGGAGGAGGGGGAGGGAUAAAAUCACAGCUUUCAAGGGAUCACAGGUUGAGAUUAAACCUGCACACAGGAAACAACCAGAAAACAACUCCAAACCAUGAAUCAAGCCAUAUGCAAUGUAGGACAUCUAGUUCCACAAAGUGAUGGGGGGAUGAGCACAGGGUUCAAGUCUGAUCACUGACAGAAGCCUCAUCAUAAUAAGGUUGCCUGCCAUUCACUGAGUUUCACCCAGCUGAUACUAAGCCCUUGCAUAGAUGAGCCCAUCAUUAAUUAACAGCCCUGUGAAAUAGGUACUAAGCAGUCCCAUUUUACAGAUAAGAAACUGAGUCUGAUAGAAGUGAAGCAACUUACUCAAGAAACUUAAGUUGCAAAGCCGGAAUUUGAACCCAACGCUGACCUUGAAGCCCUGUUUGUAACCCCUAUAGCACACCACUUCUCUUUACAUAAAGAAGAAUUUUGAUCUGAACUCUGCAAGAGAAAAGACUGGUUGGGAAAAAAAACAUAGGGCUGCUCUGAGGAAGAAUAGUAUGUAGAGGAAAUGGCAUUUUCAAAGGCUCAAGAGCUCUAACAGGUCAGAUGAGAGCAAAAUGUUUGAAAAGAUCAAAUGUUCAGCCUUCCAGGCACUCAAAGAUGACAAUAAAUGGGAAAUGGGUCUCCCAAGUGGG